rnacentral:rRNA from 1 species
UACGUAGGGGCAAGCGUUGUCCGGAUUUAUUGGGCGUAAAGAGCGUGUAGGCGGCUGGGUAGGUCCGUUGUGAAAACUCGAGGCUCAACCUCGAGACGCCGAUGGAAACCCUCCAGCUAGAGUCCGGAAGAGGAGAGUGGAAUUCCUGGUGUAGCGGUGAAAUGCGGCAGAUAUCAGGAAGAACACCCGUGGCUAAGGCGGCUCUCUAGUACGGUACUGACGCUGAGACGCGAAAGCGUGGGGAGCGAACAGG